rnacentral:rRNA from 1 species
UGCGCAGGCGGACUAUUGAGUCAGUGGUGAAAUCUCUCGGCUCAACCGAGAAACUGCCAUUGAAACUGAUAGCCUUGAGUGUAGUUGUAGUAGGCGGAAUAUAGCAUGUAGCGGUGAAAUGCUUAGAUAUGCUAUAGAACACCGAUCGCGAAGGCAGCUUACUAAACUAUCACUGACGCUCAUGCACGAAAGCGUGGGGAGCAAACAGGAUUAGAUACCCUGGUAGUCC